GACGGGGGAUGCAAGCGUUAUCCGGAAUCACUGGGCGUAAAGCGUCUGUAGGUGGUGAUGCAAGUCACUGGUGCAAAACUCUGGCUCAACCGGAGGAAAGCCAGAGAAACUGCAUGACUAGAGUGUGGGAGAGGUAGAAGGAAUUCCCUGAGUAGCGGUGAAAUGCGUAGAUACAGGGAAGAACACCGGAGGCGCAAGCUUUCUACUGGAACACAACUGACACUGAGAGACGCGAGCUAGGGGAGCGAAUGGG
rnacentral:rRNA from 1 species